AUUGAACGCUGGCGGCAGGCCUAACACAUGCAAGUCGAGCGGUUGACGGGAGCUUGCUCCCUGAUUCAGCGGCGGACGGGUGAGUAAUGCCUAGGAAUCUGCCUAUUAGUGGGGGACAACGUUUCGAAAGGAACGCUAAUACCGCAUACGUCCUACGGGAGAAAGCAGGGGACCCUCGGGCCUUGCGCUAAUAGAUGAGCCUAGGUCGGAUUAGCUAGUUGUUGAGGUAAUGGCUCACCAAGGCGACGAUCCGUAACUGGUCUGAGAGGAUGAUCAGUCACACUGGAACUGAGACACGGUCCAGACUCCUACGGGAGGCAGCAGUGGGGAAUAUUGGACAAUGGGCGAAAGCCUGAUCCAGCCAUGCCGCGUGUGUGAAGAAGGUCUUCGGAUUGUAAAGCACUUUAAGUUGGGAGGAAGGGUUGUAGAUUAAUACUCUGCAAUUUUGACGUUACCGACAGAAUAAGCACCGGCUAACUCUGUGCCAGCAGCCGCCGUAAGAC
rnacentral:rRNA from 1 species